UGAGAGCCCUAGAGGUGUUUAUCUUCCUCUUCUCGGAAUCAUGAAGCUUUUCAGUGAGUAUUUUCACAAGACAAGAGAAUUGUUCAUGAGUAUCUUGUAGAUCAGCAGUGUGAUUUGGGAGCAACUGACAAAAAACUAAAAGGAGAACAGAAAUGCUGCAUCUCCUAGGAUUCUCUAGCCUUUCUCUAUCUGUCCACUUCGAGAUCAUUGUCACUUUUUAUUUUGUCCCAUAUCAAAAAGAACAGCCUGUUAAUAGGUAACAAGAAUCUGGAAAGAUUUUUGCAAUGCUAUAAAUAGCCAGAGCAGUUCUCCAGCCAGCAAAAGCAGUCCUGUGUUUAUACCCAGAGAAUGUAGACAGAGAAAGAUAAUGGUUUGUUUUCUUUAGGUGGAAUGACUUUGGCAGUGAACAGUUGCAUUGUUACUAAUUUUACACAGUUGAAUAAGACAAUAAAAUCUUCAGAGUACAUUUCAAGACAGUUACAACACAGACUUAAAUACAUCUGAAAUACAGCAUCAUUUCAAGAUGAUUGCACAUAUUUUCAGAAUAUGUGCAAUCAUCAACAUACACACACAUAUAGAGCCACAGUGACUAACACUGACAGGGUGCUUCUUUUAUUUUCUUGGUUCUGCUGGGGCACUCCAUUGAAUGGCAACGCUCUGAACCUUGUGUUCAUACAAGAAUCUUGCAGAGCUGGGUUGGAUUAGCAUGUUGCACAUAUUUACACUGGAGUAACAUUACCUCUUUGUAAGUCUGCUUCUGCAUAAUGCCCAGCUUCCUCUACUUCAAACCACUCUUGUUCCAGUCCAUUCACCCCUCCAUAACUGCUUGGCACAGUUUCAGUUCGCCUCCCUGCCCUUAUUUUUUUUUUUUUUUUUCAGUAGGCUUUGUCAAGUCUGCUCCUAAAUCUUCCUGUUCAUUUUGUUUCAGGGUCAUAUCUGAGGUGGUUCAAAUUAAACAAAAAGAAAACCCAGGAGUUACAGGUCACUUGCUUUUAGAGCACCUCCUCAAGUUGGAGUGA
rnacentral:lncRNA from 1 species